rnacentral:rRNA from 1 species
AUUGAACGCUGGCGGCAUGCCUUACACAUGCAAGUCGAACGGUAACAGGUCUUCGGAUGCUGACGAGUGGCGAACGGGUGAGUAAUACAUCGGAACGUGCCUAGUAGUGGGGGAUAACUACUCGAAAGAGUGGCUAAUACCGCAUGAGAUCUACGGAUGAAAGCAGGGGAUCGCAAGACCUUGUGCUACUAGAGCGGCCGAUGGCAGAUUAGGUAGUUGGUGGGAUAAAAGCUUACCAAGCCGAGGAUCUGUAUCUGGUCUGAGAGGACGAUCAGCCAAACGGGGACUGAGACAAGGCCCAGACUCCUACGGGGGGAAGCGGGGGGGAAUUUUGGACAAUGGGCGAAGGCCUGAUCCAGCAAUGCCGCGUGCAGGAUGAAGGCCUUCGGGUUGUAAACUGCUUUUGUACGGAACGAAAAGCCCCGGGUUAAUACCCUGGGGUCAUGACGGUACCGUAAGAAUAAGCACCGGCUAACUACGUGCCAGCCGCCGCCGUAA